rnacentral:tRNA from 3 species
GGGCGGUUAGCUCAGUUGGCAGAGCGCCAUGUUUACACCGUGGAUGUCGUGGGUUCGACCCCCUCACCGCCCA